rnacentral:rRNA from 1 species
UCAAGAAACUUCCGCAAUGCACGAAAGUGUGACGGAGCGACGCCGCGUGAUGGAUGAAGCCCCUUGGGGUGUAAACAUCUUUUAUGAAUGAAGAAAUUUUUGACAUUAGUUCAUGAAUAAGAGGCUCCUAACUCUGUGCCAGCAGGAGCGGUAAUACAGAGGCCUCGAGCGUUAUCCGGAAUUAUUGGGCGUAAAGGGUGCGUAGGUGGUUAUAUUAGUCGAAUGUCAAAGACCCGGGCUCAACCUGGGGGAGGCAUUCGAAACGGUAUGACUAGAAUUAGUGAGAGGUGUGCAGAACUCAUGGAGUAGGGGUGAAAUCCGUUGAUCUCAUGGGGAAUACCAAAUGCGAAGGCAGCACACUGGCGCUAUAUUGACACUGAGGCACGAAAGCGUGGGUAGC